rnacentral:lncRNA from 1 species
CAAACAAUUUAAAAUGUAAGAAGUUAACAAGUCUAGGUUUAAUUUAUUAAAAUUUUAAAAUUAUACAAACUCUAGGGUACAAUUCGUAAUUUUACCAACCACUUUGUUGGCCGGCCGGCUUAUUAUUGAUUUUAUAACCCUUUUCUUUAGGGUAAAUUUCACUGACCCCUCUAAAGUUCAUGACAAAUACAGUUAUCUAUACAUAACACAUAUAUUUUUUAUUUUUAAAACUAAUAUCAAGAUUCUCCUGUAACUCAACAUUUAUCAACAAUCAAUAUUCUUCUGUAUCUCAAGAUUCUCCUAAAGUUCAUGACAACUUGCUCUUUAAUUUAGGACUUUCAAAAAAAAAUUCCCAAUACACCUAUUAAAAAAAAUAAAUAUUCUCCCUAUUUCUUUUUUUAAAUAAUUGAUUAAUAAUUUAUUUUUCAAGUAUGUUUAGAUUAUAAUAAUUAAAAAAGUAAAAUAUUUAGAUUAAUUAUUUUUGUAAAAUAAAUCAAUGAUAACAAAGUUUUAUUUUUUAAUUAUAUUUUUCAUUAAGAGUAUUUAAAAAUAAAUUAUGUAGAUCAAUUAAUUUUUUUAAAAAUAUUUAUUGAUAAAAAAUAAAUAACAAAGAAACUGUGUUAAAAAAAUAUUAAUUUAUCUUAAUGAGUGUAUUGAGUUGGAAGUCCUAAAUCAAAUGACAAAUUUAUUAUUUUUAUACAAAAAUGAGCUAUAUAAGAAAUAUUAAAUUAGUUUUCAAAGUAUGGAGUGUCAGUAUUAUUUUUAAAAUUACAAAGGAUGUGAAAGUAAUUAUCAGAAGUCUCAGGGAGAUCAGUCAAAUUUAGCCUUUUCUUUACUCAAAGUUAAAAAGGUCAUUUUUUCAGAUAAUGGAAGUAAUUUAUUUUCUGUUUAAAUUUGUUAAGGAUAUUUGACUUUUUCACUGAAUUAUUUUAGUUUCCAUAUUAGAAAUGUGUUUCCUUCAUUUUAUUUUUUUUUACAAUUAGGCCAAUUUUAUUAUUUUAUCUAAUCAUUAUUACACGUAUCGUGUGCUCAAAAUGACUGAAUAAUAGUUUCUUUGUUGUCACUCAUUCGGUUAUUUAUUUAAGGAAUUUUUAAGAUUUUUUUAUAAUUUUUUGGGUUUAUAAUCGUAUUGUUAAUUAAUUAAGCUUCAUUGUUUAAUUAGAUAGUUAAAGAAUUGAAUUGAUUGAGUUAAUACUUUAAAAAUAAAAUUGACAAAAUAUGUACAGUUUAGAAAAUAUUUUAUUUUCGAGUUAUAUUUUUUUUGAAUAAUUACAGUAGGGUCUCUGAUAUAGAACUUUAACUCGUUUAAAUUCUGAUGGCUUGCUUUCCUUCAAAAAACUCCUCAUUUUAUGUUUAUUGUGUGUAACUAGUAUGAUGAUAAAUUUAUCAUUUCACAAAGAAAAAAAUAAUAUAAAAACAUAAAAUAAAAUUUAUAAUAUAUAAAAGAAUGAUAGAAUGUGCAUGGUGAUGUGUUUAAUUGAAAAACGACAUAAGAAAUUAUAUAUUCAUAACACCUUAUAUUUUUAGUUAAAAAACUGAGUGAGAAUUUUAUCAUUUAAAAGAUAAAUGAAUUGUAUAAUGGGAAAUUAAUUGACUUUAUUUUUAAAGAUAAAAUACGAAAAUUACACAAUUUUUUUUUUUUUUUUAAAAAAGGUUUUUGAAUCAGAAUAUUUGAUAAAUAAAUAUUUGGAUUUUCAGUCAUAACUUACGCUUUCGACCAUGCUAUAUUAUUUUUUGUGAUUUGUGAUUUAGAUAUCAUUUUUUAAUUUGAUAAAUUUUAUUUGAGAAUAAGUUCAACACAUGAAAGCUGGACUUAGAAGUUCUAUUUUUUUACAAUAAUGCUAUAAAUAAUAAAAAAAUAUUAAAAAUUUACUAAAUAGAUAUAUGAUUCAACCAUAUGUAUUGUAGAUGAAAUAAAAAAAUACAUUAUUAGGUCUUAAUACAUGUGACAGUGUCAAGGGUCGAUUUAGCAUUUUUUUUUAGCAUUUAUAAUAUUUUUCUUAUGUUGUUAAUGGUAUUCGGUGGGAAUGGAGAAAAUGGGACCAUGACACCCUGUUUGGCGUCCGGAGAUGGACCGCGGAUUUGCCAUUUCCCGAAAUUUUUCUCACCCUUCCCAUCUCCCGGGUUUGGCGCCCCCAUUUGGCUCUCCUUGAUUUUACUCUCGGUCGGAUCCAAAUCCAGCCAAAGCCGGAGAUGGGACGGACAGGGGUACCCCAGUCGUGGUCACGCGGCCUCCGCGUGGGGUGAAAAUACUAUUUGCCUAUGCUGGGGGAAGGAGCUGCCGUGAGAGAUGGUCCGGUCAACUCUCUCUCUCGCGCGAACAAGAAAAUUUGGGGAGACGAAGAAUAACCAGGGAUUUUAUAUUUUUGAAUUUGGGUAAUUACACUGACCUCCCCUGAGGUUAUAGUUAAUAUACAAGAAAACCUUAACAUUUAAAAACUAUAAUUAACCUCAUUCCCUCAAUUGAACCAAAAAAAAAAUAUUUUUAAUUAUAUAUUAAUAUUUAAAUUUCUUCUUAUUUGAUGUUGAAUUUUAUUUUUUAUUUUAUUUGAAUUCACUGAAAUCGGGUACUAAAAUAUCGUGUACCAAUUUUUUUGUGGAGUCGACUGAAUUUUUUUGGUAAAAUUUAAAUUAUUUUAAUACAUUUUCUUGGUUUAUAAUUUAUAAUUCUAAAUUAUAGAGAAAUACUAAGAUACCGAAUGGGGGUGCCACAAUUUGAAUUUCUGCUUAAUAUAUUAUUAUAUAAUUAAUUUAAAAUAAUUUAAUCAAAAUAAAAUUGAAUGAUCUAUCUUUUAAAUUGUAAUUUAUUUUAAUUUCUUUUCCGAGUGCUAUUUUGAGUGGUAGUUUUGUAAAUUUAGCACCCAUGAUUGCAUUCGAAGAAAUUCUAGAUUAAUCUGGCAAUAAUUGAAAGUUCGCUCACCUACCCCCCGCAAGCGGGCAGCGAGGGCUACUAAUUAAACGUUCGCUAGUCGCCGCACCGCGAGCGAAUUAAGUGAGUCUGUGGACAACGGAAUACACGUUUUCAACUUUGUUAUAAAAGAAAACAGACUUCUUUAACUUACAGCACCAUUUCUAAAAACAAAGUAAUGAUUUUGUCCUAAAGAACAUAUUACAUCAUCUAUUAAUAAUUGACAAAUAUGUCUAGCAUUCCUGAACUAAAAAUAAUAUUCUUUUAAAUGUAUUAUUUUAAGAAUAUUAUUGUCCUUGCAAAUUUUUUGCUUUAUAUCGAAAUUUGUGCAAAUUUAACAAAAAAAUUAGAAAGCUUAAUUUUACCACUUGUUUCUUUAUUAUUUUCCUAUAAAUUUAUUUAAAACUAAUUUUUUUUUCUUUUUUUUUCUUUUUAGGCUUCAUUUUACGAACACCCACUAACUUUAUUUUUUAUUAUUUUUUGAUUUAUCCCUUCAUCUAAAAAGUGAAUCAUAUUGACUCAUUUAACUAUUUAAUUAUAUCACUUAUACCCCUUCCAUUACUAAUCUGUUUUAAAAAGUAAUAAAAAUCAAUUACAUGUUGUCCAUGUAUUUAAAUUAAAUGCAUAUAUCUAAAAUACUAUUAUUUUUUUAUAAAAAAUAAUCAAACCAUAUACAUUUUAUCAGCCAUUAUGAGAACAAACUUAACUCUUAUUAAUAAGCAUUUAAAUAGAGCGUUGACUUAAUUUUUAUUAAAAAUAAAAAUAUUUAGGCAAAGCAUUUAAUUUAAGCAUAAAACAUGACAAUACACAAUCGAUUUUUAAUCAAUAUUUAAUCAGAUUAGUAAUAAAAGGGUAUAAUGAUGUAAUUAAAUAGUUAAGGGCCAAUAUGAUCACUUUUUAGAUGAAUGAUAAAUUGAUAAAAGACGAUAGUUUGGUGAUGUUUUAUGAAUUAAGCCUUCUUUUUUAUUUUAUUUCCUAGCAAAUCAAACGAAAAGAAACUACUACUUUUCUUUGGUUUGGUUGUUAUUUUUUAGUAUCACUUUUUUUAAUUUUCUUUAAAAAAUUUUAUUUGGUUACAGAUUUUAGAAGUUUUUUCUGGAAUUACGUCGGAAAAAAACAUAUUUGGAGAAAAAAAAAAUAAAGAUACAACUCGAUUACUAGAAAAUUUGUUUUUGUCUAGUUAGAAAAAUGAAUAAUCUAUGAAAUUGUUAAAAUAUUUUUAUGUUCAAAAACGUUUUUUUAAAAAAUUUAUAAAUCCCAAAUUAUUAUAAAAAAUUGAACCAAAUAUCUAUAAUUCUCUGUUUCUUUCUCUUUGCAUGAGUUCCAAACAAAGCCUACGGGUGGAUCGUUGACUGGGCCAGUGUUCGCAUAUUUAUGACCUCGUCCCACCAUCUCAGUUUAAUAAAGGAUAACUUCCUUCACACCCCUGAGGUUUUUCAAUAUUGCACUGACCUCCCUGUAGUUUUCAACAUGGCAAUGACCUCCCUGUAGAGCAAAAUGACCAUUAUGCCCCAGCCCCUAGCCCCCCCACCCCACCCCACCCCACCCCACCCACCCCACCCCCACCCCACCCCCGCAAUUUUUUUUUAUUUUUUUUAGUUUUUCUUUUAAUUAUUUUUAAUUUCUUUUUAAUCUAAGUUAUUUUUUUUAUCAGUGUUUUUUUUGGAUAAAUAUUUUUUUUAUUAUAUGUUGUUUUUUUUAGUUUUUUUAAUUAAUUAAUUUUAAUAAGAAAUAAAUUUAAAAUUAAAAUUAAAAUUAAUAGAGAAUACAAAUUUAAGUUUACAAUAACCUGAUCAUUAUAUUUAAAAUUGUAGCAGACUUUUUUAGUUGUAUAAUUACAUUAUAAAAUACUUAAAAAUUCAUUUAAUUAAAGGCCAAUGUGGACUACUUACUUUUUUAAAAAUUAAGUAUUUUAAUUUCUGAGUUUUUUUAAAUUUGUAGAUAAUCAUUUUAGUGGGCAAUUUUAGCGAAAUAUCUAAAAUUUAUCAAGUUUUCCGCAUCUAUUACGAACUUUUUGAUAUCUGAUUGUCAUAUUAUUUGAAAGUUCAAAUCUACUGACCAGAUUAGCCUCAUCACUUGGGCAUUAUCAAAUUGUUGAUGAAACGAAAAAAAAACUCAAAACGCAAAUAAUUAGAAUUUUUUUAAAAAAUAGGACAAAUUGACUUUAUUAUGAGUUUUAAGACAUUUUAUAUUUAUACAUACCACUAAAAAGUUUGUACAAUUUUUUAAUUAUAAUGAUCAGAUUAUUUGUGACUUAAUUUGUUUCUUUUUCUAUUUUUAUGUUAUUUAUUUUUAUUAAAAUUAUUAAUAAAAACCAAUAAAAAAACCAAACUAGAAUAAAAAAAUAUUUAUCCAAAAAAAUUGAUAACAAAAUAAAUUAGAUUAAAAAAGUAAUAAAAAUUUAAAAUAAAAACUAAAAAAAAAUAAAAUCAGGGGUGCGUGGGGUGGGGGUGGGGCUGGGUGGGCGGGGUCAGGGGCAUAAUGGUCAUUUUUUCUCGGUACAGGGGAGGUCAUUGCCAUUUUUGAACUACAGGGAUGUCAGUGCAAUUAUGGAAAACUCCGGGGUGUGAAUGAAAUUUAAUCCCUUUAAUACACCAGUGUGGUCCAGUGCCCAGGACUUUGUCGGCCAGUCCGAACGUGGCUCAAUCCCCAAUUUCCAUUUGCCAAACAUAUCUCAGAGUAGUCCCAAUUCGAUAGUUUUUUUUAAAUAAAUUUGUUAGCUAUUUUCGGUCUCAAUUUUUGUUCGUAGACCUCGUAGUGAACUUUUUCAGUUAUUUAAUUAAAUUUUUAAAUUUUUUAAUUUUUUCUCAACACGUUGAGCUUGAAAAAAAUAUAUAUUUUUUCAUUUAAAUACUAAAUGUUUUACUAAAAACAAAAACUUGUUUUUACUGAUAAUACAUAAAAUAAAAUUUAGGCUUAUUUUUUUUUUUUUAAUGAUUUUUUUUCCAAAAUUCUAACAAAAAUUUAACAUAAUUAGAUGCUUUGUCAGAGAAAUUGAAAAAUAUAUACAUACAACUUGAAAAUCAAUGCAGUGCUACAAACAAGAGUAUUAUUAGUGCUAAAACUAGGUUCUGUUUAUUAAUACUUCAAAACCAAGGUUUUUUUAACUUGCUAUCAAAAAAGCUAAUAUUUUUAAGGUUUUUGCUUUUGUAUUUUCACUAUAGCUACAACUAAGCAAUCAGCAAAAAUAGAAAAGCAAAAAGCCAACUCUGAUUUACUUUUUUCUUAUUUUCGGCAAAAAAGUCUAAAAAACUGAAAAACUGGUGCCAAACCAGAGCCUAAGUCAAAAUUGGGUCUAUUUUUGUACUACCCUGUCUCAAUUGUAAAUUCAAUUUUCCUAAAAUUCCUACGAAAACUAACAAUAUUCUGGAGUCCUACAUUUUUUAUCAUUUGUCAUUUUGAGCUGAUAAUUACUCCUUUUUUUUUUGUUUCGUUCAUCUUUUAAUUACCUUUUUAUAUGGAUUACAAAUCAUUGGAGAAAAUUGUUACAAAUACUCUCUUAUAACUUUUAAAACUGAAAAAAAAUUAAACUUAAAAAAUUACGACAAACAUUCUUAUACUGUGGAGUGAGACACAAACUUUUACUGAAAAAAAAUGCUAAGCCCUGCCAAAUGACCGGGGAUAGUUAGCAUGACCCUUCACUAUCCUAUAUCAGCUCAAUAAUGAAUUGCUAGUCCGGACCAUUGAAUAACUUUUAGGUCUUUGAACCGUUAGAAAAGCAAGCCAACCCAAACACAGGUGAACAUGACAAUGAUUUGAUGCAAAAACUGUGUUUUGAUGCCAAAAUACGAUGGCCGGGAUUUUUUUUACCCAUUUUCCAAAGUGUUGAUAUGUGUGCGACCUAAGGCCAAUGGCAGUCAGUGCCCACAAGAGGAUGGGGGUGGGUUUGUUCUUACUAAGUGAGCAUGGAGGGUUUGGUUGUGAGAAUGGAGGAUGGUGAUGGUGAUGCUACUUUGGCUACAACAGCAAACACCACAAAGCGUACAAACAAACCACACAGCAUAUCCUCAAGGAUAAUGCCAUGUCAAAUGCGGAUUGAAAAAAAACAGAAGGAGAAUUUCCAACUUUGUGAGUGUGCCACCAUGUUUUGUAAUGGACAAGUCUCUCUCUCUCUCUCUCUCUAUAUAUAUAUAUAUAUAUCAAUAUAUAUUUGAGUUAGAUCUAAAAUCUAGAUUAAAAGUGGGUGGUUAUGGGAGCUUAUAAUCUAGUUUGAAUCAUUAUUUUGUAAAUUAUGUUGAGAAUAGUAUGUAUAAAAAGAUAAGAUAAUAGAUAUCAAUAGUAACAUAAUCAAAUUAAUAUUAUCUUUAAAAAAGUGGAAUAAUAUUUCCUAAAAAAUCGUAUUUUCAGGAUAAAAAAGAUGAAACCAUAUUCAAAUUAACCAGAAUUUGAAUAAAUAGUAUUUUAAGAUUCUACAAAAUGAAUGGUUCAGAUCAUGACCUAUUCUAGAGAUUAUACAGACGAUUGUUAAUGCACAUGAGAAAAAUAAAUAUUUAUAAAAUUAAAUAUUGUAAUAUGUAAUUGAAUUGAUAUGAUUGAUAUAUUUUUCACUUUCAUGCUUGAAAUUUCUCCUUAUUAUCACACCUGUUAAUUGACAAAAAAAAAAUGAUGUAUUAUACAUGAAAUAUUUAAAUUGUUGUGAAUUAGAGAUUGUUUCCUAAUUUGAGUAGGAAGUUGUGGAAUUGUUUUUUAGGAGAUUCUUUCCUAAUUGAUUAUGAAACGCCAUAAAUUUAUUUCCUUUGACAUUUUUUUAUUUAUUUUUCCUACUUAGAUAUUAUGUUGUAUUAUAUAUUGUGUAGGUUUUAAUACAAUUGAAGCUUUUCUUAUUUUGAUUGGUAUCAGAGCAUUUAAUCGAAUACAACCAGUGUAAUCGCGCACACACCUUGCCCAGCCAGCGCAGUUAGCCACCGUCGGUAAAACACUCACGCAACCCCACUCAGCGUAGUUGAACACACUACCAUCACGUAACCACCACUAGUGCCAUUCCAUACCCAGCGCAGUGCAACCAGCGCAUCCAGCCACUCCAGCGAAGUGCAGUCCAGAUACCCUCACAAAACAACACCACGUCUAAGCAGCCAGGCCCACCCCCCUGUGAGCCACCACAUCCAGCCAGUCCAGGCCGCCUCUAUCUGCCAGCCUAUUCUAUACAGCUCUGAGUCUCUUGUUGGCUUGUCGCUGUCUUGUGUUGGUGUUUCUUGAGGGACUUUGUGGAAUUUUCCCCACACUCGCGAAAUUGAAGUUUCUUCCUUGGAUCCUGUUCUUCUAUGAUUGAUGGUUUUAUCCUAGCGAAUAUUGUUUCUGAGUCUAGUUCAUGUUUUCAGAUUUGAUCAAUUAAAACCUAGCUCAAGAGUCACGAGCAUGUUGUUGAUGGAAAGAACUUUCAUGCUUGAUCUUGCUCUUUUCAACUCUACCUUAAUGUAAAGUGUUUAAGACCAGCUCGAUUCUGGAAAAGAACAGAAAGCUGGCUGAAUCCGAUCCAAGUUUGAUGAGUGAAAGGAGGAUAAAUGUAUCAUUUUGGACUGGGUUGUUUACUCUAUGGAGGAUAGAGGUGUCCAUAUGUUAUGUAUCAUGAUACCGGUAUAUGGUUAUGGAUUGCUUUGAAUAGAUGUAUGGUCAGCCUAUAAGGAGCCCUGAUCUUUGAAACUCUUUAUCUUAAAAACCUACCUUAGGGGGGGGGAACUUUCCGUUUGUUGAUAUUUUGGAUAUCUCCAGACUAGAUGGGAAGAAUUGACUCAGUACAAUCCCUUAGUGAUUUUCCUAGUGAUAAGGUUGUUGAGUCAAACAUAUGAUCGUCAACAUACAUUUCAGUGUUUUGAGGGUUUUUUAAAACCUGAGUUUGAGUCUCUUGAACUCAAAGGUAAUACAUCACUUUUUCCAUUCAGAUUACAAGGGUGUUUGAUAAUAUUGAUGGUGAUAAGCGGAGGUGCGCCUUCCUACCAUCAUUUCUCUACUGGAUACUCUUCUACUAUUUAAGAUUCCAAACAUCCUUGGUUGCUUCUUUUGGGACGCGCCCACAUUGUCAGCAUUUCGCAGGCCCAAUUCCUUUUGAUUGCUGUUUUGAUCUACAUCUUGAGUUGAAAUCACAGUUAAAUAGGAAUUAAGGUAGAAUUGGCGGGGUGGUUUACGGUGGUGGGUAGUGGCUGUGGAAUUCCUCGAGUUGGUUCUAUUGCAGAAGUAGAACAAUUGCAUCUGAGUUACUUGAUCUCAAUCAACUUUAGAGCCAAAUUGCUCAACUAUAGUCGAACUUGGGCUUGGCUCUCUCCUCUGGUCCCAUGGCCGUUAUAGCUGUAGGGACUCUUACCGCUCUUCAUGGUAAGUUAGGUCACUCCACUUGAAUUCUAGAUUUUGGGGCUAAUAAUCACAUGACUGGUGAACUUUUUAUCUUUACCUCUCCUGUUACUUCUGUGAAUAGUAUGUUUGAUGUUGAUGGAUUCCUCUUUCCAGUAUAAUCAGGUAUGUUUGCUGUCCUAAGAUAUUAGUUGUCUUGCAAAAACACCUUAAUUGUGAUGUUAUCUUCUACCAUCUCAUGUUUCUUGCAGGACCUAACUCGAAGAAGAUUUUUGGCAAGGGGUAGUCUCAUGAGCGUGAUGAACUAUAUUACUUUGGGGAUCCGUCCAAUAUCUAAUGCUUUGUCUUUAGUCUUCAAGUAGUCGUUCUACCACUCUUAGAGCCUCUGUUUUAAGUCGUCUAUUUAAACUUGUGUGUUUUUAUUUAACACUUAAAUCGAUGGCAUGCUUAUUUAGGGCAUGCCAAAUUUUUAGUAUUUGUUGCUUUUCCCAUCUGAAUCAAAGCAGCAAGAAAGUUAUUUUAAAUGGUCAUUUGUGAAUGUCUAAAACAUUACUCGCACCUUUUUUAUUUCCUCGAUGCGCAAUCGCUGCACCUAGUGCCUUGACCCUUAUUCGAUCAGAGAUGUCUAGGGACCGGUCUUCAGUUAAUGAUAUCUCUCAACAUCGUCAUUAUGUCACGUUUAUAGGUAACUACACCGUUGAUAUGGGUAUACCUGAUGCACCAUAAAUUUGAGGUCAUCUCCCACUUACCCACUUUCUAUAAAUGAUCAAAACUCAAUAUAAUACAUUUGUGCUCACUAUUCGGUCA